AUACAAGCUAGAUAAGGGCGUAUGGGGGAUGCCUAGGCUCUCAGAGGCGAAGAAGGACGUGAUAAGCUGCGAAAAGUCGUGGGGAGUGGCACAUACACAUUGAUCCGCGAAUAUCCGAAUGGGGCAACCCAAUACGUUGAAGACGUAUUACUCCGCAAGGAGGGCGAACCCGGAGAACUGAAACAUCUAAGUACCCGGAGGAAGAGAAAACAACAGUGAUUGCGCUAGUAGUGGCGAGCGAACGCGCAUUAGCCCAAACCAAUGAGUUUACGGACUUAUUGGGGUUGUAGGACUGCAAUGUGGAUUAUAGAAUGAACUAGAAUCAUCUGGAAAGAUGAGCCAUAGACGGUGACAGCCCGGUAUAGGAAAGUUUAUAUGAUCCUAGCAGGAUCCUGAGUAGUGCGGGGCACGUGAAACCCUGUAUGAAUCUGGCGGGACCAUCCGCCAAGGCUAAAUACUCCUGAGAGACCGAUAGUGAACCAGUACCGUGAGGGAAAGGUGAAAAGAACCCUGAACAAGGGAGUGAAAUAGAACCUGAAACCAUACGCUUACAAGCGGUCGGAGUCCGUCUUUGACGGAUGACGGCGUGCCUUUUGCAUAAUGAGCCUACGAGUUACCGUUUCCAGCAAGGUUAAGCACUUCAGGUGUGGAGCCGUAGCGAAAGCGAGUCUGAAUAGGGCGCUAUAGUUGGUAGUGGUAGACGCGAAACCGUGUGAUCUAUCCUUGGGCAGGUUGAAGCUGUGGUAACACAUAGUGGAGGACCGAACCCGUUGACGUUGAAAAGUCUUGGGAUGACCUGAGGAUAGGGGUGAAAGGCCAAUCAAACUCGGAAAUAGCUCGUACUCCCCGAAAUGCAUUUAGGUGCAGCGAUAUAGAUAGUUUUAUAGAGGUAGAGCUACUGAUUGGAUGCGGGGGCUUCACCGCCUACCAAUUCCUGACAAACUCCGAAUGCUAUAAAAUGGUUCAUAUCAGUGAGGGCAUGGGUGCUAAGGUCCAUGUCCGAGAGGGAAAGAACCCAGACCAUCAGCUAAGGUCCCCAAAUGUAUGUUAAGUUGAAUAAACGCGGUUGGACUGCCCAGACAGCUAGGAUGUUGGCUUGGAAGCAGCCAUUCAUUUAAAGAGUGCGUAACAGCUCACUAGUCGAGCGGUCCGGCAUGGAUAAUAAUCGGGCAUAAACAUACUACCGAAGCUAUGGACUAUAGUUUACUAUAGUGGUAGGGGAGCAUUGUAACAAAGACGAAGGUGUACUGCGAGGUAUGCUGGAUUGGUUACAAAAGAAAAUGUAGGCAUAAGUAACGAUAAUGCAGGCGAGAAACCUGCACACCGAAAGACUAAGGUUUCCCCAGCUAUGCUAAUCAGCUGGGGGUUAGUCGGGACCUAAGGCGAACCCGAAGGGGGUAGUCGAUGGACAAGCAGUUAAUAUUCUGCUACUUGCCCCACGUUAAAGCGGACGGAGGCGUAAAGUUGGUGCGUACUGACGGAAUAGUACGUUGAAGGGAGUGGUAACACCCCGAUAGUACACAAAAGCUACGGCCGGCGUGAUAAUCCAGCGGAGCGACUUCCAAGAAAA
rnacentral:rRNA from 1 species